UACGUAGGCAGCAAGCGUUGUUCGGAGUUACUGGGCGUAAAGGGCUCGUAGGCGGCCAACUAAGUCGGAUGUGAAAUCCCCAGGCUUAACCUGGGAACUGCAUCCGAUACUGGAUGGCUUGAAUUCGGGAGAGGGAUGCAGAAUUCCAGGUGUAGCGGUGAAAUGCGUAGAUAUCUGGAGGAAUACCGGUGGCGAAGGCGGCAUCCUGGACCGAGAUUGACGCUGAUGAGCGAAAGCUAGGGGAGCAAACGGG
rnacentral:rRNA from 1 species